GGAUUGCCUCAGUAACGGCGAGUGAAGCGGCAACAGCUCAAAUUUGAAAUCUGGCCCUCUCAGGGUCCGAGUUGUAAUUUGUAGAAGAUGCUUUGGGUGUGGCUCCGGUCUAAGUUCCUUGGAACAGGACGUCAUAGAGGGUGAGAAUCCCGUAUGUGACUGGUUGCCUUCGCCCGUGUAAAGCUCUUUCGACGAGUCGAGUUGUUUGGGAAUGCAGCUCAAAAUGGGUGGUAAAUUUCAUCUAAAGCUAAAUAUUGGCCAGAGACCGAUAGCGCACAAGUAGAGUGAUCGAAAGAUGAAAAGCACUUUGGAAAGAGAGUUAAACAGUACGUGAAAUUGUUGAAAGGGAAGCGCUUGCAACCAGACUUGCACGCAGUUAAUCAUCUGGUGUUCUCACCGGUGCACUUUUCUGCGUUCAGGCCAGCAUCGGUUUAGGUGGUGGGAUAAAGGCCUUGGGAAUGUAGCUUCUCUCGGGGAGUGUUAUAGCCCUCGGCGCAAUGCCGCCUACCUGGACCGAGGACCGCGCUUCGGCUAGGAUGCUGGCGUAAUGGUUGUAAGCGACCCGUCUUGAAACACGGACCAAGGAGUCUAACAUCUAUGCGAGUGUUUGGGUGUCAAACCCAUACGCGUAAUGAAAGUGAACGGAGGUGAGAACCCUUAAGGGUGCAUCAUCGACCGAUCCUGAUGUCUUCGGAUGGAUUUGAGUAAGAGCAUAGCUGUUGGGACCCGAAAGAUGGUGAACUAUGCCUGAAUAGGGUGAAGCCAGAGGAAACUCUGGUGGAGGCUCGCAGCGGUUCUGACGUGCAAAUCGAUCGUCAAAUUUGGGUAUAGGGCGAAAAGACUAAUCGAA
rnacentral:rRNA from 1 species